rnacentral:lncRNA from 1 species
GUAUGAACAGCAACAACAGCAGCAGACACAGUUGCUGGCUCACCUGUUCUCUUCUUCCUUGUAGUUAUAAUCCCAACUGAUUGACUUGUUUUCCCAGCCUCUUUAGCCUAGGGGGGCCAUGAGUCAUAGUUCUGGCCAAUGGAACAUAAGCACAUGACUGCUGGGAACGUCCUUCAAAGCGUUUUCCUGAUAAAAGGGCACAGACGCCUCUGGCACCUUUCUUUUUCCUUCUUCUUCUUAAAAGCAGGCAUGUCAGCUGUAGGUGCAGAAGCCAUGCUGGAACCAGGAGGCAACCAGCAAGAGGGAUAUGAUAGAACCUAUAGGACUAAUUGAGUUAAUUAGAGAAAAUGCUAAGAACUGUGCCUGCACAAUGUGAAGACAUCAAGGAGUGCCAAGUGGCAAGUGACCAUAUGAAAGGACAACUACAAGACAUUGAAACCAAGAGCCAGGCCAGACUGCAGGAGGAUGGACGUAUCCCAUGUCAGAGCACAAGUCAUGGGAGAAGGAGGAUCAGGCACGUUAACACAGGCAAAAUCCAGGGGAUACCACCAAGUGACAAGAGAGGCACCGUGCCCUGAUCUGGCAACUCAAGCGGCCCCUGAAAAAUGAGACUCUGGGUGAGCGCAACACCUCUGUGAUGGGAAAGAUGGCUUCCUGUAUUCGUUGAAGAAAAUGCAGAUCCUGUUUUAAAUAAAACUUUUGGUUCAAAGCUUUCGCUGGGAAAC